rnacentral:rRNA from 1 species
AUACGGAGGAUCCGAGCGUUAUCCGGAUUUAUUGGGUUUAAAGGGUGCGCAGGCGGGAGAUUAAGUCGGCGGUGAAAUUUUGCAGCUCAAAUGUAAAAGUGGCCUCGAAAAUGGGUUCCUUGAGUGGAGAUGAAGUAGGCGGUAUUUGUGGUGUAGAGGGGAAAUGCAUAGAUAUCACGAGGAACUCCGAUUGCGCAGGCAGCUUACUAAACUACUACUGACGCUCAGGCACGAAGGCGUGGGGAUCAAACAGGAUUAGAUACCCUGGUAGUCCACGCAGUAAACGAUGAUUACUAGCUGUUUGCGAUACAAUGUAAGCGGCUGAGCGAAAGCGUUAAGUAAUCCACCUGGGGAGUACGUUCGCAAGAAUGAAACUCAAAUGAAUUGACGGGG